rnacentral:rRNA from 1 species
GACGGGGGGGGCAAGCGUUGUUCGGAAUUACUGGGCGUAAAGGGCGCGCAGGCGGGCGAGUAAGUCUCUCGUGAAAGCCCACGGCUCAACCGUGGAAUUGCGGCGGAUACUACUCGUCUUGAGUCCGGGAGAGGAGAGUGGAAUUCCCAGUGUAGCGGUGAAAUGCGUAGAUAUUGGGAGGAACACCGGUGGCGAAGGCGGCUCUCUGGACCGGAACUGACGCUGAGGCGAGAAAGCUAGGGGAGCAAACGGG